AACUGUGGGAGACUUCCAAACAGCCUCGCCCCUAACACUCAGAGACUCGUUGACUUUACGGCAGCACUAACGGACCGUUCUGAUCUGACGUCCUGCAUAACACAGGCCAGACAGCCUCCCCGACUGCUCAUUCCUGCCUUAAGUCCAUGACUUCUGACUGGGCUAGAGCAGAUCUGUUAGAAGGCCCUCCAGGGUUGACGUAAAGACUUUGGGUGACGGAGACCCCACCGCAGCCCGAGGUCCUCUGAAUCUCCGUGCGAGAGCCAGGGAACGGCUGCAGGAUGUCUUCAAUCUUGAAGAUGUUCGGAAGAGAAGACAAGAAGGAGGAGAAGAAGGAGAAAGACAAGAAGGAGGAGAAG